GACGAACGCUGGCGGCGUGCCUAACACAUGCAAGUCGAGCGGAGAUAUGUAGAGGAAGUUUUCGGAUGGAGUUUAUAUAUUUUAGCGGCGGACGGGUGAGUAACGCGUGAGGAACCUGCCCUUUACAGGGGGAUAACGCACCGAAAGGUGCACUAAUACCGCAUGAGACCACAGCACCGCAUGGUGCAGGGGUCAAAGGAGUAAUCCGGUGAAGGAGGGACUCGCGUCCGAUUAGAUAGUUGGUGAGGUAACGGCUCACCAAGUCAACGAUCGGUAGCCGACCUGAGAGGGUGAUCGGCCACAUUGGAACUGAGACACGGUCCAAACUCCUACGGGAGGCAGCAGUGGGGAAUAUUGGGCAAUGGGGGGAACCCUGACCCAGCGACGCCGCGUGAGGGAAGAAGGUUUUCGGAUUGUAAACCGCUUUCAGUAGGGACGAAGCGCAAGUGACGGUACCUACAGAAGAAGCACCGGCUAACUACGUG
rnacentral:rRNA from 1 species